UUUUUUUUAGUAGAGACAGGGUUUCACCAUGGUGGUCUCAACCUCCUGGCCUCAAGUGAUCCACCCGCCUCAGCCUCCCAAAGUGCGUUACAGGCAUGAACCACCACCAUGCCCAGCCAAUGCGUGGAUUUUUAACGCUGAUGCCCAAAGCAUACAUUGGGGAAAGGAUAGUCUCUUCAAUACAUAAUGCUGUGAAAACCGAAUAGUCACAUGCAAAAGAAUGAAAAUAGACCUCUUAUUUCUUAUCACAUACAAGAAUCAAAUCAAAAUGGAUUAAAGACUUAAAUGUAAGGCCUGAACUAUGAAACUGCUAGAUGAAAACACUGGGGACAUGCUUCAGGACAUUGGUCUGGACAAAGAUUUUUUGGGUAAAAUCUCAAAAGCACAGACAGCAAAAGCAAAUAUAGACAAAUGGGAUUGCGUCAAGCUGAAAAGCUUCUGCACAGCAGUCAACAGACUGAAGAGGCCACCUACAGAAUGGAAGAAAAUGGUUGCAAAAUAUCCAUUUAAGAAAGAAUUAAUAACCAGAAUGUACAAGAACUCAAUCGCAAAGAAACGAGAUAAUCUGAUUUUAAAAUGGGCAAAUGAUCUGAAUAGACGGUCUCAAAAGAAGACAUACUUAUGGCCAACAGGUGUAUGAAAAAAUGUUCAGCAUCACUAAUCAUCAGGGAAAUUCAAAUCAAAACCACAGUGAGAUAUUAUGUCACUCCAGUUAAAAUGGCUAUCAUUAAAAAGGCAAUAAUAGAUGCUGGCGAGGAUACAGAAGGGGGGGAACACUAGUACAUUUUUAGUAAGAAUAUAAAUUAGUACAGCCACUAUGGAAAACAGUAUGGCAGUUCUUCAAAAAACUGAAAAUAGAGCCACUACGUGAUCCAGCAAUUCACUGCUGGGUAUAUAUCCAAAAGGAAAUCAGUAUAUCAAAUCAAAAAGGGAUAUCUGCACUUCCAUGUUUAUUGCAGUGCUCUUUACAGUUACCAAGAUACGGAAUCAAGUUGUGUCCAGUGGGUGAAUGGAUAAAGAAAAUGUGGUCUAUAUACACAAUGGGAUAUUACUCAGCCAUAAAAAAGAAUGAAAUCAUGUAAUUUGCAACAAUAUGGAUGGAACUGAAGGUUAUUAAGUGAAUAAGCCCGGCACAGAAAAACGAAUACUGAAUCUUCCCACUUGUAUGUGGGAGCUAAAAAAGUUGGUCUCAAGGAAGCAGAGAGUAGAAUGGUGGUUACCAGUGGUUGGGAAGGAUGUUGGGGACAGGGAAUGAAGAGAGAUUGGUUGAUGGUACAGAAAUACAGUUAGAAAGAGUAAGUUCUAAUGUUCCUAGUACAGUGGGGUGAAUAGUUAGUGAUAAUUUAUUGUAUAUUGCAAAAUAGCUAGAAGAGAAGAAUAGUUAAUGAUAAUUUAUUGUAUAUUGCAAAAUAGCUAGAAGAUUUAGAAUGUUCCCAACACAAACAAAUGUUUGAGGUGAUGGAUAUCCUAAUUACCCUGAUUUGAUUAUUACACAUUUUGUUCAUGUAUCAAAUAUAUAUACCCCAUAAAUAUGUAUAAUGAUUAUAUAUCAAAAAUAAAUUUUAAAAGCAAUUAACAUUGAUAAAUUUGCUUUAUCACAUAUUUGCCCAUCUUUCUGUCCAUCUGUCUGUCCGAUUUACUGCAUUGCAUUUCAAAGUAAGUUGAAGACAGCAAUACAUUUUACCCUUAAAUAUUUUAGCCGCAUGCUUGAUUCUAGAAUUCACAUUCAAAAAUUAAACUAAUAUCAUUUAUUAGACUUAAAUUAAUUGCAAGUAAGGUUUAAAAGGCUGAGUGUGACUACAAAGAAGUUUGGAAUUUUCUAAGGUUAAAAAAUAUUCUCUUGUUCAGAAUAUUGGCUGGGUGCGGCAGAUCACUUGAGGUCAGGAGUUUGAGACUAGCUUGGUGAAACUCCAUCUCUACU
rnacentral:lncRNA from 10 species